rnacentral:lncRNA from 1 species
GAGGGUCUCGUGGUGCCAGAGGCUUGAUGAAUGGAUACAGGGGCCCUGCCAAUGGAUUUAGAGGAGGAUAUGAUGGUUACCGCCCUUCAUUCUCGAACACUCCAAACAGUGGUUAUUCACAGUCUCAGUUCACUGCUCCCCGGGACUACUCUGGUUACCAGCGGGAUGGAUAUCAGCAGAAUUUCAAGCGAGGCUCUGGGCAGAGUGGACCACGGGGAGCCCCACGAGGUCGUGGAGGGCCCCCAAGACCCAACAGAGGGAUGCCGCAAAUGAACACUCAGCAAGUGAAUUAAUGUGAUACACAGGAUUAUGUUUAAUCGCCAAAAACACACUGGCCAGUGUACCAUAAUAUGUUACCAGAAGAGUUAUUAUCUAUUUGUUCUCCCUUUCAGGAAACUUAUUGUAAAGGGACUGUUUUCAUCCCAUAAAGACAGGACUGCAAUUGUCAGCUUUACAUUACCUGGAUAUGGAAGGAAACUAUUUUUAUUCUGCAUGUUCUGUCCUAAGCGUCAUCUUGAGCCUUGCACACAAUACAAUACUCAGAUUCCUCACCCUUGCUUAGGAGUAAAACAUUAUAUACUUAUGGGGUGAUAAUAUCUCCAUAGUUAGUUGAAGUGGCUUGGAAAAAAAAUGCAAGAUUGAAUUUUUGACCUUGGAUAAAAUCUACAAUCAGCCCUAGAACUAUUCAGUGGUAAUUGACAAAGUUAAAGCAUUUUCUUUGAAAGGAAGAUGGAAGGAGUGGAGUGUGGUUUAGCAAAACUGCAUUUCAUAGCUUUCCCAUUAAAUUGGAGCACCGACAGAUUAAAAGCAUACCAAAUUAUGCAUGGGUCCUUACUCACACAAGUGAGGCUGGCUACCAGCCUUGACAUAGCACUCACUAGUCUUCUGGCCAAACGACUGUGAUUAAAACACAUGUAAAUUGCUCUUUAGUAGUGGAUACUGUGUAAGACAAAGCCAAAUUGCAAAUCAGGCUUUGAUUGGCUCUUCUGGAAAAUAUGCAUCAAAUAUGGGGGAUAAUCUGGAUGGGCUGCUGCUGUGCUCAAUGUGAACUAUUUAGAUACCUUUGGAACACUUAACAGUUUCUCUGAACAAUGACUUACAUGGGGAUUGGUCCUGUUUGUCAUUCCUCACCAUAAUUGCAUUGUCAUCACUAAUCCUUGGAUCUUGCUGUAUUGUUACUCAAAUUGGUAAUAGGUACUGAUGGAAAUCGCUAAUGGAUGGAUAAUCAUAACACUUUUGGUCACAUGUUUUCUCCUGCAGCCUGAAAGUUCUUAAAGAAAAAGAUAUCAAAUGCCUGCUGCUACCACCCUUUUAAAUUGCUAUCUUUAGAAAAGCACCGGUAUGUGUUUUAGAUUCAUUUCCCUGUUUUAGGGAAAUGACAGGCAGUAGUUUCAGUUCUGAUGGCAAAACAAAUAAAAACAUGUUUCUAAAAGUUGUAUCUUGAAACACUGGUGUUCAACAGCUAGCAGCUAAAGUAAUUCAACCCAUGCAUUGCUAGUGUCACAGCCUUUGGUUAUGUCUAGUAGCUGUUUCUGAAGUAUUUUCAUUUAUCUUUUGUCAAAUUUAACCCUGUUUGAAUUCUCUCCUUUCCUCAAGGAGACACUUAUGUUCAAAGUGUUGAUUCUUUGCCUUAGGUGCAUAGAGAGUAGACAGUUUGGAGAUGGAAAGGUUAGCAGUGACUUAGCCAUAUGUUCUGUGUUGGAAUUUGUGCUAGCAGUUUGAGCACUAGCUCUGCGUGCCUAUGAACUGAAUGCUGCUUGUCCCAUUCCAUUUUAUGUCAUGGAGAAAUAAUUCCACUUGGUAACACAAAGGCUAAGUUAAUGUUAUUUUCUGUACAGAAAUUAAAUUUUACUUUUAGCCUUUUGUAAACUUUUUUUUUUUUUUUCCAAGCCGGUAUCAGCUACUCAAAACAAUUCUCAGAUAUUCAUCAUUAGACAACUGGAGUUUUUGCUGGUUUUGUAGCCUACUAAAACUGCUGAGGCUGUUGAACAUUCCACAUUCAAAAGUUUUGUAGGGUGGUGGAUAAUGGGGAAGCUUCAAUGUUUAUUUUAAAAUAAAUAAAAUAAGUUCUUGACUUUUCUCAUGUGUGGUUAUGGUACAUCAUAUUGGAAGGGUUAUCUGUUUACUUUUGCCAAGACUAUUUUGCCAGCACCUACACUUGUGUGCUUUAAAAGACAACUACCUGGGAUGUACCACAACCAUAUGUUAAUUGUAUUUUAUUGGGAUGGAUAAAAUGUUUGUGGUUUAUUGGAUAAUCCCUAGAUGGUGUGUUACGUGUGUAGAAUAUAAUUUUAUGAUAGUAAGAAAGCAAAAUUGAAGAAAAUAAGUUUAGUAUUGAAUUUGAGUUCUGAAGUGAAUUCAGGGAAUGUCUCACGUUUCGGGCUUCUACCCAAAGUGUAGGGCAGAAGGUGUAAAAGUUGUUUGUAGUUUGACUUGUUUAUUUUUUAAGUUGCUUAUUCCUUUCAACAGCAACAUAUCAUUAGCUGUCAUUCUACCAUUGCAGUUCUAGUGAGUUUUAACGUCUGCAUUCAAGACUGUUUUAAAAGCAACCUCACUGGACAGAGAACUGCUAAAGUCUUUUCCUUAAGAUCUGAGUCUUUGUUACUCAGUAUCUUCUAUAAUAUGCAAAUGCUUGUCUAGAGGCAGAAGACCUUUUGUUUGGUCAAGUGUGUAUUUUACCAGAGUACAGGGAACUGAUGGUCCUACAUGUCUCUUAGUGUAGUAAGACUAUAAAAUCUUUUGUACAUGCACAAUUCACAGUAUGUUUAGAUACCACGUGUAUAAUGCCCCCCCCUCCCCCAGGUAGCAUGCCAUUGAUGACUUUUUGCUUAGGGCCAUUUUAUUACCAGGGCCUUAAUAUUCCUAAAAAGAUGAUUUUUUUUCAUCCUUUCUCCUCUUUUGAUCAUUGUAUCUUGAUAUUAAAAACAUGACCUUCCAAUGAUUGUAGUAAAUUAACUUCUAUAGUUCUUUUGUCUCUAUAUGUAUUCAUAUAUAUGCUAUUGUAUAGAGACUUCAAGGAGACAUGGAGAUGCAUGCUUAUUCUCAGGUUCAUUCACUAAGGUGCUUGGCAGACAACCAGUUUCUAAGUGCAGAAUGUAGUUAAGCAGCUUCAUAUAUGUGCCAGGCAAUUUGUUUUGUUAAAUUUUCAUCUACUUAAGGAAAUAGGGUAUUGUAGCUUAGGCUGAUCAUACCCUUCAUUUCAACCUUAAGCUCUCAACCUGCAUCCAUCCGACUUGAGCUAUUAAGUACUUUAGUUUUAUCGAGUAUAAGUUAACAGAAAAAGUAAAUUAAGCUUUGCCUUUACUAUUUUGAAUUUAUAUACAUUCUGGAAAAACUUAGAAACUGUUGUAUAUUUCAUUAGAUUAAAUUAUAUGAAAAUGUG